GAUGAACGCUGGCGGCGUGCCUAAUACAUGCAAGUCGAGCGAACAGACGAGGAGCUUGCUCCUCUGACGUUAGCGGCGGACGGGUGAGUAACACGUGGAUAACCUACCUAUAAGACUGGGAUAACUUCGGGAAACCGGAGCUAAUACCGGAUAAUAUAUUGAACCGCAUGGUUCAAUAGUGAAGGACGGUUUUGCUGUCACUUAUAGAUGGAUCCGCGCCGCAUUGGCUAGUUGGUAAGGUAACGGCUUACCAAGGCAACGAUGCGUAGCCGACCUGAGAGGGUGAUCGGCCACACUGGAACUGAGACACGGUCCAGACUCCUACGGGAGGCAGCAGUAGGGAAUCUUCCGCAAUGGGCGAAAGCUUGACGGAGCAACGCCGCGUGAGUGAUGAAGGUCUUCGGAUCGUAAAACUCUGUUAUUAGGGAAGAACAAAUGUGUAAGUAACUAUGCACGUCUUGACGGUACCUAAUCAGAAAGCCACGGCUAACUACGUG
rnacentral:rRNA from 1 species